rnacentral:tRNA from 1 species
UGUUAGGUAGCUCAGAGGUCAGAGCUUAGGUCUCGUAACCGGAAGGUCCCGGGAUCAAAUCCCCCUAGAGA